CCAUUGAAGCUGUUACUCUGAGCAGCUCCAGGUGUGAGUCCUGUGAAGCAUACAAAGAGCAGCAGAGAACAAGAGUCCAAUAUUUACUAGUGCUGGGGGAAACAAAUGGACUGGCCCCCGGGGAGCCGGCCCCCAGUGCUGAAACCUUUGCCGUGUUCCCCCCUUCCAGUCUCCAGACAGCAGCAGCGACCUUACAAGAUGUCACGGCGGAUUCAUAUUAACGCUGGAGCUGCUGCCGUUAAUCCCACUGACGGCAGCGAGAACACUAAACAUGAGUGAGGGACAAAGUGUACGCUCAGGAGAAACACAAACAUCCACCUGAAACACCGUCGCUCUGAUUAAAAUUUAAUCUGACUUCAA